CCACCGCAACACGCCCCCACCCAGACUGUUGUAGUUGAGAAUCCUAUGUCCAUGGACGAAAGUGGCAAACUGGUGAGCAAUGUGGUGGUCGGAGUUACAACAGAGAGAAGAAAGACAUGACAGAUGUCCUCCAAUUGGUGAGAACAGUAUUUAAUGUUAUAGAUUGGGUUUGAUCUUACUGUUAUCAGUUUUUUGAAACUUGCAAAUAUACUGGAAAGGAUGAUAUGUGUUUAUAAAGUGAUUGGACAUUGCUUUAAGGUGGAAAGGUAUUUCCAUUGUAAUAUUGCAAGGAUGUGGGAUAGCUUGAAAAACUUAAUAAAGG
rnacentral:misc_RNA from 1 species